GCAUCUGUAGCUCAGUGGAUAGAGCAGUAGCUUCCGAAGCUAUGUGCCGCAGGUUCGAAUCCUGUCAGGUGCA
rnacentral:tRNA from 2 species